rnacentral:rRNA from 1 species
GAUGAACGCUGGCGGCGUGCCUAAUACAUGCAAGUCGAGCGAACGGACGAGAAGCUUGCUUCUCUGAUGUUAGCGGCGGACGGGUGAGUAACACGUGGAUAACCUACCUAUAAGACUGGGAUAACUUCGGGAAACCGGAGCUAAUACCGGAUAAUAUUUUGAACCGCAUGGUUCAAAAGUGAAAGACGGUCUUGCUGUCACUGAUAGAUGGAUCCGCGCUGCAUUAGCUAGUUGGUAAGGUAACGGCUUACCAAGGCAACGAUGCAUAGCCGACCUGAGAGGGUGAUCGGCCACACUGGAACUGAGACACGGUCCAGACUCCUACGGGAGGCAGCAGUAGGGAAUCUUCCGCAAUGGGCGAAAGCCUGACGGAGCAACGCCGCGUGAGUGAUGAAGGUCUUCGGAUCGUAAAACUCUGUUAUUAGGGAAGAACAUAUGUGUAAGUAACUGUGCACAUCUUGACGGUACCUAAUCAGAAAGCCACGGCUAACUACGUG